AGAAAUUUAGGUUAAACAUUAAACCAAGAGCCUUCARAGCCCUARACAGAGGACAAUACCCCUAAUUUCUG
rnacentral:tRNA from 1 species